rnacentral:rRNA from 1 species
GCGCGAAAACUUUACAAUGCCGGCAACGGCGAUAAGGGGACCUCGAGUGCCAGGUUACAAAUCUGGCUGUCGUGAUGCCUAAAAAGCAUUGCAUAGCAAGGGCCGGGCAAGACCGGUGCCAGCCGCCGCGGUAACACCGGCGGCUCGAGUGGUAACCGUUAUUAUUGGGUCUAAAGGGUCUGUAGCCGGCCGGAUAAGUCUCUUGGGAAAUCCAGCAGCUCAACUGUUGGGCUUUCAGGAGAUACUGUCUGGCUCGAGGCCGGGAGAGGUGAGAGGUACUUCAGGGGUAGGGGUGAAAUCUUGUAAUCCUUGAAGGACCACCAGUGGCGAAGGCGUCUCACCAGAACGGACCUGACGGCAAGGGACGAAAGCUAGGGGCACGAACCGGAUUAGAUACCCGGGUAGUCCUAGCCGUAAACGAUACUCGCUAGGUGUCGGCCACGGUGCGACCGUUGUCGGUGCCGUAGGGAAGCCGUGAAGCGAGCCACCUGGGAAGUACGGCCGCAAGGCUGAAACCUUAAGGAAUUGGGACGGGGGUAGCACCGACGUAAC